rnacentral:lncRNA from 1 species
UCCAGGAGGCACCAGUUUCUCAGCAUCUGCCUUUUUGCUUGCUUGUUGGUGAAGCAUUAGGAAAAAGCAGCAAAGAUUCUUUGCAGGAUGUCCUAGGGAAAGAAGGUGCUGGAUCUUCUGUCUCCCAAUAACUUACUAGGCCAGAGCCAGUGACACAAGCAGCUAUUCUUGCUCCCAAUAUGAGGAGGCAAAGAAUCUAGUAAGUUCCAUCUGAUCUGAGAUCGUGUCUGAUGUAAGCCCAAGGUGUAAGAGGAGACAGGGCUAUAAGUGAGUGCAAAAAGGUCCUCAGGUGCACCUGAUCUCCCCAGUAACCUGGCCAAGCUCAAUGAAAAGUUAAAUGGCAAGAAUUAUUGGGAAGAAAAUCAAUUUCAGACAGGCAGGCCUCAUGAAGUUUGCAAUAUCAUGAACUGAGGAAGAAGUGAAGAUGUGAGUCAGCCUGGAGUUCAUCCCACUUCAACUUCAAUUAUCUUUGGGACGUGGACAACAGCCUCAGCAGCUAAGAGCAGAAAGUGCAGGGGUGGAAUAAGAAACUUG